UUUCUUACAUUGACAUCUGGAUUAUUACCAGCUCUUUUUUUCUUUUGAAACACUUACCAGCUCAUUCUUCCUUUUAUUGUUUAAACUGUCUCUAUUUUAGCAUUUUUAAAUUUAUUUCUAAAUUUAUCGACCUAUCUUUCUCUCGUUUAUAUAUUAAUUUAUUGCCUAUUUAGCAAAGUAUGAAAAACAGAGUGUUAUACUCGUGGUUCCUUGGCUCUGCGAAUCUGGUCAACAAUUGGGCUUAUCACGGGAUCUGGCCUGAUAUUUCAUACGGAACAGUGAGGACCCGUGACUAUAUGCUUUCCUUUGUUUCUUCACCUGAAAAAAAAAGAGAUAGAGAGUGGCGAUGGCUAUUCGGAGGCGAUCUUCACAGCCGCAACAGAUGGAGCUCCGGUGAUAGCAGUUCAAGCUUGGAUGGUGCUCUCGGACUUUCCCUGGUCUUCGAUCUGCAGCAGAGAAGCUGAACCGACAACACAUCCAAGCAUCGGCGAUGGGUUCUUCUUCUCUUCUUCCUCCUCGGGCUUAUACUGUUUACAUAUGAGGACGACAUGCAUGUACAGAGUGAUCAUCAUCUACUGUUGGAACUUUACAUCAGCUACUGCCUACUGCCUUUUGAACAUUAUAUAUGGCUCUUAUUCAGCUUUCUCAUGGAACCCACACUUCUUUGAAAGCAACUCAUCUCCAGAUGGCAAAUGAGGGUGAAAAUCAUGGAGCAGACCAACCUAUGAAUGUCUUAGGUGUUCUUAAUCCUUCCAGAGUGAAUGGAUCAUUGUGGUUCAAAUGUGAUUCCGUAAUCACUAGUGAGAUAAGAACAAUCAUCCGAUCUGAUUUUCCUGGCCCGUAUCGAAACUAGUCAACUACACCGCAACAUGUGAAAGAGCGAUGGUGGUUCACAUUCAAGAGCAAAUUCUUUUGGAAUCACUUGAUUGAAUCCGAGGUGCGUAAGAUGUUUUGCAAAUGUGCUGCGACUAAACUGAUCAAUAUGAUCAGCCGAGUAAAAGAAAGAGAUAAGCAGCCAUAUUGGAUCCUUGAUGAUUACUACAAAGACUUGGUUGCCUACUGGGGAACAGAUAAAGCUAAGGAAAAAAGUAAAAAAGCGUCUAAGAGUCGAAUGUCAGAUCGAGCGGGCUGGGACCUCAUAAACACCGAUCUGGCUCACGUUCAUAUGCUAGGGUUGCCGAUAUAUUGAAAGAAAAGAACGGAGAUGCAUCUUACAUUGAUGUUCUUUGUGAGACACACAAGAAAUCAGACGGGUCAUUUGUGGAUGAAAGGGCAAGGCUAAUUAGUGAAAGAUUUGAAAAAAAUGUAGCUGAUCAUAUGCUUGAAGAUGAUGUCCUAGUCACAGAAGAGCUAACUUCUGAGAAGAAGAAUCAAAUGUAUUUGAAGUUGGUUGAUUCAACACAAGGUCGUGUGUUUGGUCUUGGAGCUCUUCUUAGUGAGGUUUCACUCAAUGCUAAAAUGCCAGUCACCAUUGAAGCCACUUAGAAAAUGAUGAGUUGAAGAAAAAUGUACAAGACAUUUCUCAAGAAAAUGAAGAUAUCAAUGAAAGGUUGAGCAAACUUGAAGGCUUGGAGAAAAUGAUUGCCAUCCUUUGUCCAGCUAUUCUAUCCAGGGUGUCAACAACCAAGUUUAAAUUGGUUGCUUUUGUUAUUCGAAGGUUUUAUUAGUUUUUUCUAGUUUUAAAUUAUUGCUGGUUUUUCUCUAUUAAUGCAUUGUUGAUUUUUUUUUUAAUAUUUUAGUUUAUUUAAUAAAAUUGGUGUUUGACU